rnacentral:rRNA from 1 species
GUGACGAAGUUCAACGGCCGCGGUAUCCUAACCGUGCGAAGGUAGCGUAAUCACUUGUUCUUUAAAUGAGGACUAGUAUGAAUGGCACCACGAGGGUUAUACUGUCUCCUUUUUCUAAUCAAUGAAACUAAUCUCCCCGUGAAGAAGCGGGGAUAAACUUAUAAGACGAGAAGACCCUAUGGAGCUUUAAACAACAAUAGCACUAGCCUUCAUCUUUAUACUUGAGAGAUACAACUAUUAUAUUGGCUAACAUGACUAUUAGUUUUAGGUUGGGGUGACCGCGGAGCAAAAACUAACCUCCACAUUGAACGGAGCUUUCCUGAGCUAAAAGCUACAACUUUAAGCACCAAUAAAUUGACAUCAAUUGACCCA